UACGGAGGGUGCAAGCGUUGUUCGGAAUUACUGGGCGUAAAGAGCACGUAGGUGGGUCUGUAAGCCAAUUGUGAAAUCCCCGAGCUUAACUUGGGAAUUGCAGUUGGGACUGCAGAUCUUGAAUGUCCAAGAGGGUGGGGGAAUUCCUGGUGUAGAGGUGAAAUUCGUAGAUAUCAGGAGGAACAGCAGAUGCGAAAGCGCCUGCCUGGUGGUGCAUUGACACUGAGGUGCGAAAGCGUGGGGAUCAAACAGG
rnacentral:rRNA from 1 species